UACGUAGGGGGCAAGCGUUGUCCGGAUUUAUUGGGCGUAAAGAGCGUGUAGGCGGCCAGGUAGGUCCGUUGUGAAAACUCGAGGCUCAACCUCGAGACGUCGGCGGAAACCCUCUGGCUAGAGUCCGGAAGAGGAGAGUGGAAUCCUGGUGUAGCGGGUGAAAUGCGCAGAUAUCAGGAAGAACACCCGUGGCGAAGGCGGCUCUCUGGGACGGUACUGACGCUGAGACGCGAAAGCGUGGGGAGCAAACAGG
rnacentral:rRNA from 1 species